rnacentral:rRNA from 1 species
GACGAACGCUGGCGGCGUGCUUAACGCAUGCAAGUCGAACGGAAAGGCCCUGCUUUUGUGGGGUGCUCGAGUGGCGAACGGGUGAGUAACACGUGAGUAACCUGCCCUUGACUUUGGAAUAACUUCAGGAAACUGGGGCUAAUACCGGAUAGGAGCUCCUGCUGCAUGGUGGGGGUUGGAAAGUUUCGGCGGUUGGGGAUGGACUCGCGGCUUAUCAGCUUGUUGGUGGGGUAGUGGCUUACCAAGGCUUUGACGGGUAGCCGGCCUGAGAGGGUGACCGGCCACAUUGGGACUGAGAUACGGCCCAGACUCCUACGGGAGGCAGCAGUGGGGAAUAUUGCACAAUGGGCGGAAGCCUGAUGCAGCAACGCCGCGUGCGGGAUGACGGCCUUCGGGUUGUAAACCGCUUUCGCCUGUGACGAAGCGUGAGUGACGGUAAUGGGUAAAGAAGCACCGGCUAACUACGUG